rnacentral:lncRNA from 1 species
AGAGACCUCCUUGGAUAGCUGUGGGAUGCCUGCAAAGAACAGUGCAAGGCAACACAGCAGAAUUCUGUUUGCCUCAAGUAACCUGAGGUGAUCGAGCUCUUGGUGAGUGUACCAUUAAGAGUCAUUGUCUAAUUUAUCCAGCCCUGAAGUCUGCA